CUCUGAGUCACCCUUUCUCCUCCCUAACAACAUCUGCAGGGGUGAAAUCAGAGUGUUGCGAACAGAACGCCUCGAGGAGUAUCAUGGAGGAGUGUUCUCUUUACUGCACCAUUAGGCCAUAUUUUAUGGGCGCAUGUCCGCAGUCUCCGUGUGAUCUCUGUCUUUAUGCACUGUGGUACAGGCGCUGGGCUGCCAUUACGAUAAGGAGCGGUGAAGCGGCAGGAUGGCUCGUAAAGCGGAUUCAUGACCGUCGCAAUCAGAGGUUAAGGUGUCCUCAAAGUUUAGG
rnacentral:lncRNA from 1 species